UACGUAAGGGGCAAGCGUUAUUCGUCAUUAAUGGGUCUAAAGGGUACGUAGGCGGUAUAGUAAAUCAAGUUUUAUUCACCUAAGAGUGAAUUUGGUAAUGCAAUACUAGAAGUUUAAGGAAGUAACAAAUACUAGGAGAGGAGUGUAAUAAUACCUGGAUACUCACGGGGUUGCGAAGCGGCGAAGGCAUGUUACUAUAAA
rnacentral:rRNA from 1 species